rnacentral:rRNA from 1 species
CGGGGUUGCGGACAGUGUCUGGUGGGUAGUUUGACUGGGGCGGUCUCCUCCCAAAGCGUAACGGAGGAGCACGAAGGUUAGCUAAUCCUGGUCGGACAUCAGGAGGUUAGUGCAAUGGCAUAAGCUAGCUUGACUGCGAGCGUGACGGCGCGAGCAGGUGCGAAAGCAGGUCAUAGUGAUCCGGUGGUUCUGAAUGGAAGGGCCAUCGCUCAACGGAUAAAAGGUACUCCGGGGAUAACAGGCUGAUACCGCCCAAGAGUUCAUAUCGACGGCGGUGUUUGGCACCUCGAUGUCGGCUCAUCACAUCCUGGGGCUGAAGUAGGUCCCAAGGGUAUGGCUGUUCGCCAUUUAAAGUGGUACGCGAGCUGGGUUUAGAACGUCGUGAGACAGUUCGGUCCCUAUCUGCCGUGGGCGCUGGAGAAUUGAGGGGGGCUGCUCCUAGUACGAGAGGACCGGAGUGGACGCAUCACUGGUGUUCGGGUUGUCAUGCCAAUGGCACUGCCCGGUAGCUAAAUGCGGAAGAGAUAAGUGCUGAAAGCAUCUAAGCACGAAACUUGCCCCGAGAUGAGUUCUCCCUGAGACUAUAAGUCUCCUGAAGGAACGUUGAAGACGACGACGUUGAUAGGCCGGGUGUGUAAGCGCAGCGAUGCGUUGAGCUAACCGGUACUAAUGAACCGUGAGGCUUAACCUU